GACGAACGCUGGCGGCGUGCCUAAUACAUGCAAGUCGAGCGCAGGAAACUGACGGAACUCUUCGGAGGGAAGGCAGUGGAAUGAGCGGCGGACGGGUGAGUAACACGUAAGGAACCUGCCUCAAGGAUUGGGAUAACUCCGAGAAAUCGGAGCUAAUACCGGAUAGUUCAUCGGACCGCAUGGUCCGUUGAUGAAAGGCGCUUCGGCGUCACCUUGAGAUGGCCUUGCGGUGCAUUAGCUAGUUGGUGGGGUAACGGCCCACCAAGACGACGAUGCAUAGCCGACCUGAGAGGGUGAUCGGCCACACUGGGACUGAGACACGGCCCAGACUCCUACGGGAGGCAGCAGUAGGGAAUCUUCCACAAUGGACGAAAGUCUGAUGGAGCAACGCCGCGUGAGUGAUGAAGGUUUUCGGAUCGUAGAACUCUGUUGUAAGGGAAGAACACGUACGAGAGGGAAUGCUCGUACCUUGACGGUACCUUACGAGAAGCCACGGCUAACUACGUGCCAGCAGCCGCAGUAAGAC
rnacentral:rRNA from 1 species